rnacentral:rRNA from 1 species
GGACCCGCACAAGCGGUGGAGCAUGUGGUUUAAUUCGAUGCAACGCGAAAAACCUUACCUAUACUUGACAUACUUGGAAUGCUUUGUAAUGAAGCAGUGCCUUCGGGAGCCAGGAUACAGGUGCUGCAUGGCUGUCGUCAGCUCGUGUCGUGAGAUGUUCCGUUAAGUCGGAUAACGAGCGCAACCCUUACCCUUAUUUGCCAGCGAUUCGGUCGGGAACUAUAAGGGGACUGCCGGUGAUAAACCGGAGGAAGGUGAGGACGACGUCAAGUCAUCAUGGCCCUUACGUAUAGGGCUACACACGUGCUACAAUGGGGAAUACAGACGGACGCUAAGCCGCGAGGUGGUGCUAAUCUCAUAAACCUUUUCGUAGUCCGGAUUGGAGUCUGCAACUCGACUCCAUGAAGUCGGAAUCGCUAGUAA